rnacentral:rRNA from 1 species
AUGCUGACCAAGUUCGAGACCAAGAGCAACCGGGUCAAGGGCCUGAGCUUCCACCCGCGGCGGCCAUGGAUCCUCGCCAGCCUCCACAGCGGCGUGAUCCAGAUGUGGGACUACCGCAUGGGCACCCUCCUCGACCGCUUCGACGAGCACGACGGCCCCGUCCGCGGCGUCCACUUCCACGCCACCCAGCCCCUCUUCGUCUCCGGAGGUGACGAUUACAAGAUCAAGGUGUGGAAUUACAAGACACACCGCUGCUUGUUUACGCUUACUGGGCAUCUCGACUACAUUCGUACUGUGCAAUUCCACCAUGAGUACCCAUGGAUUGUAAGUGCCAGUGAUGACCAGACAAUCCGGAUCUGGAACUGGCAGUCACGUACUUGUGUGGCUGUGCUUACCGGGCAUAAUCACUAUGUUAUGUGCGCGUCCUUCCACCCCAAGGAGGACCUGGUUGUGUCAGCAUCGCUAGAUCAGACUGUCCGUGUUUGGGAUAUUGGUGCCCUGAGGAAGAAGACGGUGUCACCUGCAGAUGACAUCCUGCGUCUCACUCAGAUGAACACUGAUCUGUUUGGGGGUGUCGAUGCGGUUGUGAAGUAUGUCUUGGAAGGCCAUGACCGUGGUGUCAACUGGGCAUCAUUUCACCCCACAUUGCCACUCAUUGUUUCUGGGGCAGAUGACCGGCAAGUGAAGCUGUGGAGAAUGAAUGAUACCAAGGCUUGGGAAGUUGAUACUUUGAGGGGCCACAUGAAUAAUGUGUCCUGUGUGAUGUUCCAUGCGAAGCAAGACAUCAUUGUGUCCAACUCAGAAGACAAAAGCAUUCGCAUUUGGGAUGCCACAAAGCGAACCGGUAUUCAGACAUUUAGGCGGGAACAUGACCGUUUCUGGAUCCUUGCUGCCCACCCUGAAAUGAAUCUUCUUGCUGCUGGUCAUGACAGUGGCAUGAUUGUGUUUAAAUUAGAGAGGGAACGCCCAGCUUUCAGCGUGAGUGCUGAUACUGUGUUCUAUGUGAAGGACAGAUUCCUCCGGUUCUUUGAGUAUUCCACCCAGAAGGAAGUUCAGGUGGCUCCAAUAAGAAGACCAGGAUCCGUCAGCUUGAACCAGGCACCCAGGACACUAUCUUAUAGUCCAACUGAAAAUGCUGUGUUGAUUUGCUCGGAUGUGGACGGGGGCUCAUAUGAUCUGUACAUUGUUCCCAAGGAUUCUGCUGGCAGGGCUGAUUAUUUGCAAGAGGCAAAGAAGGGAGCUGGUGGCUCGGCUGUUUUUGUGGCACGGAAUAGGUUUGCUGUCCUUGAGAAGAGUAGCAAUCAAGUUUUGGUGAAGAAUCUUAAGAAUGAAAUUGUGAAGAAGAGUCCUCUUCCUAUUGCGACUGAUGCAAUUUAUUAUGCUGGGACUGGUAAUUUGUUGUGCAAAGCUGAAGAUCGUGUGACCAUCUUUGAUCUACAACAAAGGCUAGUUCUUGGUGAACUCCAGUCAGCUGGUGUUAAAUAUGUAGUUUGGUCCAGUGACAUGGAGUAUGUUGCACUGCUGAGCAAGCAUGCAGUAGUUAUAGCUAGCAAGAAGCUUGUCCAUCGCUCUACACUGCAUGAAACCAUUCGUGUGAAAAGUGGUGCCUGGGAUGAGAACGGUGUUUUUAUUUACUCUACUUUGAACCAUAUCAAAUACUGUCUUCCCAAUGGAGAUAGUGGGAUCAUAAAGACCCUUGAUGUCCCUGUUUACAUAACAAGGGUUAUUGGGAACAACAUUUUCUGUCUUGAUCGUGAUGGAAAGAACAAGCUGAUAACAGUUGAUGCUUCUGAAUACAUUUUCAAGCUCGCCCUUCUCCGGAAACGUUAUGACCAUGUUAUGAGUAUGAUUAAGAGCUCACAGCUGUGUGGGCAGGCAGUGAUUUCAUAUUUACAACAGAAAGGAUUUCCAGAAGUUGCUCUCCACUUUGUGAAAGAUGAGAAGACAAGAUUUAAUCUAGCUCUUGAAAGUGGUAACAUCCAAAUCGCAGUGGCUUCUGCAAAAGAGAUUGAUGACAAGGAUCACUGGUACAGGUUGGGAAUUGAGGCCCUGAGGCAGGGGAAUGUUGGUAUUGUGGAAUAUGCAUACCAGCGGACGAAGAAUUUUGAGAGGCUGACUUUUCUGUAUCUUAUUACUGGUUACAUGGACAAGGUGGGCUUCAUGUGCAAAAUUGCCGGACAGAAUAACAAUUUGAUGGGUCAGUUCCACAAUGCAUUGUAUCUUGGGGAUGCUAGGAAGCGAGCUGAGAUCCUGGAGAAUGCUGGACAGCUUCCUCUUGCCUAUGUCACUGCCGCCACUCAUGGGCUCACUGAAAUUGCUGAAAGGCUUGCUGCUGAGUUGGGUGAGAAUGUUCCUUCUCUACCUGAAGGAAAAACUCGCUCACUUUUGAUUCCGCCCGCACCUCUCAUAUCCAGCGUUGAUUGGCCAUUGCUCCGGGUGAUGCGUGGCAUAUUUGAGGGUGGACUGGAUGCUACUGGGAGAGCAGAAGUUGAGGAAGAUGAUGAAGCUGCUGGUGCUGACUGGGGUGAUGAGGACUUGGAUAUUGUGGAUGCAAGUGAUGCAGUGGCAAAUGGGGGUGAUGGUUUUGAUCCCGAGGAAGGUGAAGCGAACGAGGUGGAUGGGGAGGAAGGUGGUUGGGAUCUUGAAGAUCUGGAAUUGCCUGAACCAGAGACCCCAAAAGCUGCUGGAAAUGCUCGCUCUACUGUGUUUGUUGCUCCUACACCAGGAAUGCCUGUCAGCCAAAUUUGGACUCAGAAAUCUUCUCUUGCUGGGGAGCAUGCAGCAGCAGGCAACUUUGACACUGCAAUGAGGUUGCUCAGCCGUCAGUUGGGCAUCAAGAACUUUGCUCCCCUGAAACCCAUGUUUCUCGAUCUUCAUAUGGGCAGUCAUUCAUAUCUUCGCGCACUUGCAACUGCUCCCGUUAUAUCAAUUGCUGUUGAGAAAGGUUGGAGUGAGUCCUCAAGUCCUAACGUGAGGGGCCCUCCUUCACUAGUUUUCACCUUCUCACAAAUGGAAGACAGACUCAAGGCAGCCUACAAAGCCACAACAGAGGGGAAGUUCCCAGAAGCGCUGAGACAGUUCCUCAACAUAUUGCAUACCAUUCCCCUGAUCGUGGUGGACUCGCGGAGAGAAGUUGAUGAAGUGAAGGAGUUGAUCGAGAUAGUGAGGGAGUAUGUUCUUGGUCUAAGAAUGGAACUCAAGAGGAAGGAAUUGAAGGACAACGUCAACCGGCAACAGGAACUGGCGGCCUACUUCACCAACUGCAAGCUCCAGAGGGUUCACAUGAGGCUUGUGCUCUCAAACGCCAUGGCUCUAUGCUACAAGCAGAAGAACUUUGCGACCGCGGAGCACUUUGCAAGGCUGCUCCUCGAGAACAGCCCCAACGAGGUCCAAGCGAAGAAGGCUCGGCAGGUGCAGCAGCAGUGCAACGGCAAGCAGGACAGCCAUGAGCUCAACUACGACUACAGAAAUCCGUUCGUCGUCUGUGGCUCGACGUAUGUUCCCAUCUACCGCGGCCAAAAGGAUAUCUCGUGCCCAUACUGCGGAUCCCGGUUUGUUCCUAACAUUGAAGGGCAGCUUUGUACCAUAUGCGAGCUGGCUGUGGUCGGCGCGGACGCCUCGGGCCUCCUGUGCUCCCCUACACAGAUGAGAUGA